UAGGGAAUAUUGGACAAUGGGGGCAACCCUGAUCCAGCCAUGCCGCGUGAGUGAAGAAGGCCCUCGGGUUGUAAAGCUCUUUUGUCCGGAAAGAAAAGCAUUCGGUGAAUACCCGGAUGUUCUGACGGUACCGGAAGAAUAAGCACCGGCUAACUUCGUGCCAGCAGCCGCGGUAAUACGAAGGGUGCAAGCGUUACUCGGAAUUACUGGGCGUAAAGCGUGCGUAGGUGGUUGUUUAAGUCUGAUGUGAAAGCCCUGGGCUCAACCUGGGAAUGGCAUUGGAAACUGGGCAGCUAGAGUGCGGUAGAGGGUAGUGGAAUUCCCGGUGUAGCAGUGAAAUGCGUAGAGAUCGGGAGGAACAUCUGUGGCGAAGGCGACUGCCUGGACCAGCACUGACACUGAGGCACGAAAGCGUGGGG
rnacentral:rRNA from 1 species